UGGGGAAUAUUGCACAAUGGGCGCAAGCCUGAUGCAGCGACGCCGCGUGGGGGAUGAAGGCCUUCGGGUUGUAAACUCCUUUCGCUAGGGACGAAGCCUUUUAGGUGACGGUACCUGGAGAAGAAGCACCGGCUAACUACGUGCCAGCAGCCGCGGUAAUACGUAGGGUGCGAGCGUUGUCCGGAAUUACUGGGCGUAAAGAGCUCGUAGGUGGUUUGUCGCGUCGUCUGAGAAAUCCCGGGGCUUAACUUCGGGCGUGCAGGCGAUACGGGCAUAACUUGAGUGCUGUAGGGGAGACUGGAAUUCCUGGUGUAGCGGUGAAAUGCGCAGAUAUCAGGAGGAACACCAAUGGCGAAGGCAGGUCUCUGGGCAGUAACUGACGCUGAGGAGCGAAAGCAUGGGUAGCGAACAGG
rnacentral:rRNA from 1 species